GCCAGACUCCUACGGGAGGCAGCAGUGGGGAAUAUUGGGCAAUGGGCGCAAGCCUGACCCAGCAAUGCCGCGUGAAGGAAGAAGGCUUUCGGGUUGUAAACUUCUUUGACAGGGGAAGAGCAGAAGACGGUACCCUGAAAACAAGCCACGGCUAACUACGUGCCAGCAGCCGCGGUAAUACGUAGGUGGCAAGCGUUAUCCGGAUUUAUUGGGUGUAAAGGGCGUGUAGGCGGGAGCGCAAGUCAGAUGUGAAAACUCAGGGCUCAACCCUGAGCCUGCAUUUGAAACUGUGUUUCUUGAGUGCUGGAGAGGCAAUCGGAAUUCCGUGUGUAGCGGUGAAAUGCGUAGAUAUACGGAGGAACACCAGUGGCGAAGGCGGAUUGCUGGACAGUAACUGACGCUGAGGCGCGAAAGCGUGGGGAGCAAACAGGAUUAGAUACCCCCGUAC
rnacentral:rRNA from 1 species